GUAGGGAAUAUUGGGCAAUGGAUGCAAGUCUGACCCAGCCAUCCCGCGUGCCGGAAGAGGCCCUCAGGGUUGUAAACGGCUUUUGACGGUGAAGAAUCGACAGGAUGCGUCCUGUUUUGACGGUAGCCGUUGAAUAAGCACCGGCUAACUCCGUGCCAGCAGCCGCGGUAAUACGGAGGGUGCGAGCGUUGUCCGGAUUUAUUGGGUUUAAAGGGUGCGUAGGCUGGAAGGUCAGUCAGCGGUGAAAAGCUGUCGCUUAACGAUAGUCUUGCCGCAGAUACUUCCUUUCUUGGAUGAGGAGGAGGCCACUGGAACGGAUGGUGUAGCGGUGAAAUGCAUAGAUAUCAUCCAGAACACCGAUUGCGAAGGCAGGUGGCUGUACCUUAAUCGACGCUGAUGCACGAAAGCAUGGGGAGCAAACAGGAUUAGAUACCCUUGUAGUCC
rnacentral:rRNA from 1 species